UACGGGGGGGGCAAGCGUUGUUCGGAAUUACUGGGCGUAAAGGGCUCGUAGGCGGCCAACUAAGUCAUACGUGAAAUCCCUCGGCUUAACCGGGGAACUGCGUCUGAUACUGGAUGGCUUGAGUUCGGGAGAGGGAUGCGGAAUUCCAGGUGUAGCGGUGAAAUGCGUAGAUAUCUGGAGGAACACCGGUGGCGAAGGCGGCAUCCUGGACCGAUACUGACGCUGAGACGCGAAAGCAUGGGGAGCAAACAGG
rnacentral:rRNA from 1 species